rnacentral:lncRNA from 1 species
AAUAGAUAAAAGAUGCACUAAAAAUGAACGAAUUUUGUGUAACGUUGCGAACCAAUACAAAACCGCUUGUAGAGGUUUUUCAUAGAAAUCUAGAGUUUUAUCAUUUUCAAUAACUGUACCGUCAACGAUUUUAGUGAAAUAGGAACACAAUUGGCUCAAAAACUCACUGAUUUGUGUCUUCAAAUCAAGGCUAAUACCUGCAAAAAUUAGAAAGUUUACUACCCCAGCAAAAAGUAGUGAGUUCUGAUCCGUUUCUAACAACCUCAUAACACCAUCUUUGUAACCAACUGCAUUAAACAAAGAAGAAACCGUGAGAGCUUGCUUAAUUUGCUUUAAAAAAACAACCCUUUUCUCAUACAAUAAAUCUUUAGUUUGUUUAUUAACAACUUCAUUAGGUAAGAGAGAUGCAUUUUCAACACCAACUAAUUCAAGAAGCUGUUUGAGUUUUUUGUGGAUGGAGAAGUAUCUAUCCAUUGCGUAAAAAAGAACACGGGAAGGUAGUUGUUCAGUAUCAUAUUCAAAUUUUUCAGAAACUGUCAUCUGUAAAGCUUGGUAAUAAUUCGACAAGUUCUCUCGGGCAGUUUGAGAUUGAACAAAUCCCAACUCCGAUUUUUUGGCUGCCAUAUAAAGUUGCUGAGAUGCUUGCCGAAGCUUUGAUUCGGCUUGCAAAAGUUGCACAAGCUGUUCAUCGUUGCUAGUAAAAUCCAUACUAACGGGUUCAGAAAAGUCACUGGGCUUCUUAAUUAAACACUUCCAUUUCGAUAGUGAGUUAUUUAAAAUAUUAAGCUUAUUCCUUAAAACUGUUACUUUUUUGCUAUUUGAUUUCAACUGUUUGGAUACUUCGGUUAUAGAAGCCUGCAGGUUCUUUUGCUUCUCAUAAAGAAUGCUAGUCCUGCCCGCCGAAUCUUGUAAUCUGCGAAGAUAUCUUCUGGUUAAUACAGAGCGCGACACACAUUGCAGAGCAAUAACUGACUUCUUCAAACCUCUAAAAGUUUUUCUUGCGUUGUACGCUCGCCAAAAUUUUGCAAGAAGUGUAGCAGAACUUUCCCUUAACUCAUUUAUAUAACGAGAAUAUGCGAUAUUCUUCCGAACUAUUGAUUGAAUAACAAUAGCACAUUUGAUAAGGGACAAAUAUCUUUUGCGUUGGAUAUAAGAUCGCCAAUGAGCUUGAAUAAGAAUGGCUGCUCGUUCAAUUUUUUCUCGCUCAAAACGUUGACGAGUUAACCAGCCCAUAAUAACCGAUUGUAGUUUAAUGAUAAAUUUUACAGUUCUUUGAUACUCCUUCCGAGUAAAGAAGCCUCUUAUAGCAGACUGUAAUAAAACUGUCGAUUUGCUACAUGUAGCUCGAUGGGCUUCUUCAAAAUUUCCAAUAACGUUUGAUCUGAAAAAUAUUUUGGAGCGACCAACUUGAAAGUUUAGGUUAUCAUGAGGAAUUACAGAGUUAACAAUAUUAAGAGUCAACUUUUUAUUAUCUUCCUCCCAUUCUUUAGAAGACAACAAAAUGCGGAAUCGAUGAGCAAAUUCCUCAUACGAAAAUCGAGCAGGAAACCCUAACGAGGAUAUCCUAAUUGUUUCAAAAACACCGCAGGCCCUGAGUUGUGAGAGCACCAUCGGCGGGGAGAACGUCCAAGGAAGCUUUUCUUCAUUAGGCUUAAUGCAUCGAAUGUAAUGAACAUUAGUAGAGGAAACAGUUGUCAUUAAUUGAGACAAAGAAGAUUUAAACAUUGAUGAAAGUGUAGGUUUCCUGCUUAUAGCAGUCUUUCUAGGAUUUUUAUUUUGAGAAGAAACCAACUGCAUAUAAAAGUCUAGCAGAUAAGUUAUAAACUCAUUUUUUGAGUUUUGUAGUAAACUUAUAAACUCAUCAGGUAUGGCAUCCGAAUUUUUUGCUAAAAAAUCGUGUACUUGAUAACUAACGUCCAAAGCAUAAUGUUUAACCAUAAAUGAACCAUCAUUAAAUCUAGAUUUUUUAUAGAACUGAGAGUGUUUUGUAGGAAGUUGAUUAUUUAAUUUUUGUAAAAACGAUUGGUGGUUCCCUGAAGGUAAGCGACAUUCCUCAUCCAACAACGAGAGUAUCCCUAAUUUGUCUUCGAUUAAGGAUAUGCAACCUUGAUUGUCAGAAUAUUCUAUAAGUCGCCAGUCUAAUCCUUCUUUAACAUAUUCUUCCUGUUCUAGUUUAAAAACGUGCUUAUUAAAUUCUUGUUGAAGUUUUUCAUUAGCAUAAUUAAUACAGAAUUGCUCCAUCGAAUUUUUUUCGAAAUGUUCGAAGCCAUAAAUAUCAACAACACCAAUAUAUUUGUAGGCAGCUCUUUUAACUUUGUUAUGGUCAAGUGAUGCAUUAAUCAUGUGAACAAUCCACAAAAACAGUGCGGAAUAUAAAUAUUUAGCGACAGAGUCUCUUAUGCUAAUAGCAUGUUCCAAAGUUGAUGAGGUAAUAAUGGUUUCGGAUCUAGUUUUCAGUUGUCUUUUAACAAUCCAUUUAGCAAGCGUAGAUGAAUCGACACCAAGUAAUAAAGCAGCUUUCUGAAGAUACCCAUCACCGGGCUGUAUUUGUGCUUCAUUUCUUGUUGCACAGACUUCAAUGUUACCAAGGUGGAGUAAGGCAGCAAGUAGACAAAAUACAUCCUCCUGCCUUGACUCUGAAAUACCAAUAGUUGAAAGAGCUCUGCAAGUUAUAGUAAAGUCAUUACUGUCGUCAACGCCAGAUAUUUCAUCACAAUUUCCUUGUGAUAAAUAAUUAAAAGAAGACGCAGACUCAAGAAACCAUUUAUCCCUUUGUUCCUCUGUACAUCCAGUAAUUAGCUGAUAAAAAAUG